GGCAACGUGGUCCAAUGGUUUGAGCAUUGGAUUAUGACUCUGGAGAGCAGGGUUCGAAUCCCCACUAGGCCA